rnacentral:rRNA from 1 species
GAGCACGUAGGUGGGUUUGUAAGUCAGACGUGAAAGCCUUCUGCUCAACGGAAGAAUUGCAUCUGAAACUACAAACCUUGAGUGUAGGAGGGGAGAAUGGAACUUCUGGUGGAGCGGUGAAAUGCGUAGAUAUCAGAAGGAACGCCGGCGGCGAAAGCGAUUCUCUGGCCUAUUACUGACACUCAGUGUGCGAAAGCUAGGGGAGCAAACGGGAUUAGAUACCCCGGUAGUCCUAGCCGUAAACGAUGGGCACUAAGUAGAGGGGUUUU